GGUGGCUGCCUGAGUCAGGAAGGUUUCAGGGAAGCAUCACACACCAAGGGCUAAAGAAUGGAAGGAUUUCAACAUUCAGGAGAGGGCCAGUGAGUGAAGAAAAGGAAGAAGGGCUCCUCAGCGCUCCUGAGAAAGUCCACUGUUUGGUCCAGAGAGGCCCUCUCAGCAACUUCUUGCCAUAUGCUCACUAAAUUGUCAAACCAGACUCAUAUCAAAGCCAGUAUUCUGCCCCCUGUA